rnacentral:rRNA from 1 species
UCCGUAGGUGGAUCAAUCAGUCAGAGGUGAAAUCCUGCAGCUUAACUGUAGAACUGCCUUUGAUACUGUUGAUCUUGAGUCAUUAUGAAGUGGUUAGAAUGUGUAGUGUAGCGGUGAAAUGCAUAGAUAUUACACAGAAUACCGAUUGCGAAGGCAGAUCACUAAUAAUGUACUGACACUGAGGGACGAAAGCGUGGGGAGCGAACAGGAUUAGAUACCCGAGUAGUCC